GAGGCAUAGGCUGAUUGACGUGCCAGCCGGCCAAUGGCGUACAAACCCACAGCUGGGCGGGCGGGAUUACCUGCUCCAAGGUGUGCCGGGUGGGGUGCGGGGAUGGUUCUGAGGGCAGAGCUGGGGGGCUCGGGGAGCCGUGAGGGACAGCGCGGGGGGCACGAGCAGGAUUUGGGCUGCUGGGAGCGCGGCUGGAACGGACUGGGGCUGGCGGGGAUCCUGCGGGAGGAGGCGGCCGCAGCGGCAGGCAGGAGCGGCGAGGGGCGGGCAGCCGGGCGGAAGUGUGGGAGUUUUUAUCUUUUUUUUUUUUUUUUUUUUUUUUUCUUCCUCCGAGGGUUUUUCACUACCUACUUUGGUGCGAUCUCAGACAGGCGGUGCUGAUUGGCUCGGGCUGCUGCGGCAGAGCCCGGCGCUUCCCGCCGGCACCCGCGCAUCCCGGAUCCCGGCACUGCUUCAUCCCGGCGGCCGAAACAACGGGCGGGUUGUCCUCGGAACAAAGGCGGCCCUGAGGAAAUGCUGCUGCCGGGGCGCUCCGAGAAGCUGCUCUUCCGUGUUCAUGGCAGUCCUGCUCGCCCUGACGAAAAUGCUCAUUCCUUAAUGUUUCUGGCCGGCGAGGCUCGGGCUGCUUGUAAAUCAGAGUACAAAGGCAUCUGCUGACGGUACAAAAUGUAUAUAUAGAAAGUUAGGUUUUUAUCACCGAAUCCUGACUGCAGUGGUGUUCCCGGCUUGAGUCGAUGAGCAAAAAGCCCCCAGCAUCAAAAGCUUAUUUGUUGAGUAUGUGCCUUCCUGUAAGAAGGAAACAAAAACAAGACUCGAUGGUGGCAUUUUCAGGGCUGGGGUAUGAAGGAAUAACACUUCAUUACAACUAUCAUGAAACCACUACUAAAUUGGCAUGCAGCAGGGGUGAGCAAUGCUUACACACCUUGCAGUUUUCAUCCACAUUGCUGUUCUAGUUAAAAGGGUUUAAUUUUUAUUUGAUAUAUCCCCUCUCUUGAGGCUACCACAGUAGGUGCUCUUUGUAGAUGUUUUUUAGGCCUGUUCACCUGAGAGAGAAGUUGCUGAAAGAGCCCUGUAGGUGGGUGCAUUGAAAAAGCCAUCCUGUUUCAUUAGGCUCUUCUGCUGGGUGUCUUACUCCUGCCAGGGGUUCCUUUUCUGCAAAAGCUCUUGCAUCAGAUUUGUAAUGAAACUAGCAAAAAAGAGCUACCAGCAAGACUCAGACUUUACCUGGCCUGAGAGGAUACUUCUUCCCUAGGCCCCUUUCUGAUACAUUUAAUCAAGGAAUGCUUAAAUUUGACCCCAAAUCUUGACUUACUCUGAAAGUAUUACCACGAAAUUAACAGGGAUGUGUUUGAUUUUUUUUCCCUUUUGAAAUGUAGUUCUAAACCAAGUCAGAUAAAGUGCCUGUGUAGUAGGGAGAGCUUCAGUCCUGUCAGUAAGUUUCUCUGGACAACUUCUGGUCCUGCCUCCUGCUGUGAUUGUGGCUUGCAGAGGAAAUCAAGGAAAUCAAGGCAGCGGUGGUCAGAGCCGUGUGGCAGUGCCACAGCAGACCUCCAUCUCUGGUGGUGGGUGACAGAAACCUGGGGCAGCCGUGCUUUCUAGUUGUAUUGGUGUGGGUAAUUGGUCUGUUACUGCUCCAGGCUUGCUCUUUCUAGAUGGGUUUCACUCUGACAGAGGGGUGCAGAAGUGAGACAUCCUGGGGAGGAGGGGAGGAGAUGAUGCAAGGCCAUGAGAACAGGGCUGGGGCUAUUUCAUGCUAUGUACUUAUAAGGGCAAAUGAGGUGGAACUGGCCUCUUGGCUCAGUCUGCUCUGAGAGGUGGUUUUGAAAACGUUGCAGAAGGUUGAGAAAGUAUCUAACCAGUUAAAGGAAAUUCAGCAGGGACAAGAACUCCUUCACCAGCACAGUAAGAGAAAACUCUCACUUUUAACCUGCCUCAUGAGAAAGAUGUGCCUGCUCUCGGAAGGGCACUCACUCACCAACAACCACAACGGCUUUUUGAAAUGUUUAAUUCCCCAGAAGACAAAACAGCAUGGCCUACUGAGGAGAGGCAGGAUCUGUGCACCAAAAUACACAUACAAAUGUGUGGUUAUGGUGGUACCUGCCUUAGCACAGGGCUUCACAGCCAUGCCCUGCUGUUCCAGCACUGGGAGCUCCAGCCCUGCCCCAGAGCUGCCUGCUGGGGAUGAAGAGUGUGUAUGGCAGGCUGGGAACCCCUGUUGCAUGCCAAUCCCGUGCUGCUGGUUCUGCAGGGAAAGGGAGCCAGCUUCUCCAGCCCUGUGCUGCUCCCUGACCUGACAGCUCUCUCCUCAUGUGCCUUAAGCAUCACCCUGACCCUGUGUAAUGCUGGGCUUCCCUCAGCCCAGGCUUGCAGCAGGGUCCUGUCAAAGCUGUUGUGUCACUCUUGCCUUGGUGCCCAAACCAAGGGGGAGCUCCCUGGCUUGGGGAGGGCAGGAGGAAAUUUUGUUUCUCUUUCUGAGUUCCCCUCUCUAUCAGUGCCCGCCUUUGGCGCUGAUAGAGAGGGGAACCAGGACCCGGGCAGAGGUGAGGAAGUUGCUGCCACCCUGACACCAGCACCUCUGGCUUAGUGUGUUGCACAGCUUGUUACACCCUCUGGUGUGUGGUUGAGCAAGGCUAAAGCUGCCUUGGGGUGAGACCCCUUUGUCCCCAGCCUCUGAGUGCAAUACAAGGUAGUCACAAUGACAGACAGAAAUGGUAUGAAUUGCAUGGUGGAGAAGAAGGGUGUUUUUACUAGCUCUUCUGCUUUUCAACAGUGAAUCAGCUUUGCCCUUUUUUCCAUAGUGUUAGUGCUAUAAAUAAUCCAGGCUGGAAGCUCAAGCUGCAUGUUUGGGUGAACUAUCAUGAAAGGUGAAUCCCCCUCCUGCUCUUAAGGCAAAUGGUAUUUGCAAUCAGCCUGAAACUUCCCCCCCCCCCCCCCAAAAUCCAUCCCUCAGCCGGGGGGGACCCUGAGAGAUUCCAGCAGUUCUGUAGGUGGUGGUGACCACUUAGGUUCCUGUCAGAAACACCGGUGUGAACUGCAGCUGGCAAAUGUCUGCCCAAUGAAGGAUUGCUUCAAAAUCCAGCAUGGUCAAUAUAAAAAGUCACCUGUGUCUCCAUUUUCCAAUGAGACCCUACAUCAACAAAAACCUGAGAUCAAUACAUCCAUUUUGCUGACUUUGUAGCUUUUGAGAUGGUGACUACUUGCUUACUUUAUAUGCCUCAGCUAUUUGAACUCCCCCUCCCGUCCUUCAAGCUACUGACUCAUUUCCUCCUCUAAAACCUUCCUUUUUUAGCCUUUCGCUCUGAAGUAUUUAGUGUCUGUUUUGAGCUGCAUGCUCCAUGCCUUACUUAGGCAAACUCCUACAUCAAAGCCCUGCAAGCCAUGGUUUUCUACCAUGGAAAUCGUUUGUUUUCCCUGAUGGUUUCAGUCCUGAGGGGCAGCCUUGGCUACUGACUGUGCUCGUCGGCAAAUUGCUGCUCUGCUGUUGGAAAUCGGGGAGGCGGACAAUCGGCAAAGCAGCUGGUGAGCUGAGGCUGCCGCUGCUUAUGCUAAUUGCUGUUGUCUCCCUCUUAGCCCCGCUUCCCCCAUCUGCCUGCAUCCACCUGCUGUCUUUUCAUCCACUUUUACCCUGAGCAGGGAUCACAGAGGCUCCUGUUUGGCUGAACAACCUCAGAGCGCCCGGACUCUAUGCUGUCUGAUGCCGCAAAGGAGUGGGCAGUGUCCCCCGUAAACGGUGGUGACCCGGAGCUUUGGUCGUGGCUGAUGGAUGCUGCUGUAACAACACUAGCUGAGUGUGCCUGAAAUACAGUGCCUUUUUCUCAGGGCUUGUGGAAUAUUGGCUCUGUGGUCUUGGCGUCGCAAGGAUCAGCAAAGAUAAUUUUAGACAGGAACAGAAAGUCUCUGUAAACCUUACAGUCAUAGCUAUUUCACUGGCAGAAAAAAACCCCACGAGGCGCCCAUGGCUGUGCAUUGCUGAAACAUUCUGCUCAGCAGGUGCGCUGGAGUAAAAAUUUAAAGGGAAAUCUGGGGACAGGAGAAUCUAAGGGUGAUUUCCAGAAAUUGCUGUGAUGCUCCAUCCCUUUAGUGAGGAGGUGGUGCAGCACACAGGAUGCAGGAACCAGAGCCUGGUAUUUGGUCCAGAGCCCUAUCCUAGUCCGUGGCAUGAGUCUGGACAAGCUGCUUUUCCCCUUUGCGUUAGUUUCCUGUUUUUGAAGUGUUAACUUUGUUCCUGCUUUUUUGGUAUUACAAUUUGAGAUUUAGUGCAGAUCAGAGCUAGAUGUUGCUUAUCAAUACUCCCUAUUUUUACAGUAAUGAAAAGGCUGUUCCUAAAUUGCUACAGAUGAAUGCCAGAACUCAUAUUCCCCUUCAUUUGCUGUCAACCUCCACAAAUGCUGCAGGUUGCAAUCCUUCUGACUUCUGCAUGGUAAGAACUGCAGGCCAUAAGCAACCAGGCUAAAAUUUGACCCUGCUUGCUGCUGUAAAACUGGGUGAAUUUUAUCAGCCUCAUCAGAAUUGGUCUGGAUUGAGUGAGAUGGGGAAGUUAACUCAGUGCUUCAUUACCCCCGGGGCAUUUUCUCCACUAGAAAGACAAAGGAGGAAAUAACAAAAGAAGGCAGCUCAGCAGUGGAACAACUUCAUGUUAAUUUAAGUAAGCAAGAAUGUAAUCAAGCUACUCUUCUACCUGGCUGCUUUUUUUUUAUUUUCUCUCUUUGGUUUUGUUGCCAGUAAAGCCUGUCUGAAAUACUUUUUAUGUGAGAAUGAAAUGCAUCUUGCUCCAGAAUCAGCUUAAGGACUGGCCACUGCUCAGCUCUCCCUUAAAUCCUCAAAACAGGCAAUGUACAGAGCUUACAAUGAUGUGUUUGCCUUGCAUACACGGGAAUUGGAUCUUAAAUCCCUGCCAGUCUGAGAAGGGAGGCUCGCCUUGAGUACAGCGAGGCCUUGAACCAGCGGGUAAAGCUUUGAGCAACAUCUCUGCCUGCAUUACCCGAGCACUUUGCAGCGUUCCCUGGGUUGUGCUGUAGCCGUGAGACAGGGCUGUGUGUGCAGUCCCUUUUCUAGAGGGGGAGGCUGAGCCCAGAGAGGCUGCACGGCUCCCACAGCCUCGGGCAGGAAAUUUGUGGCGAGUGUGAUGAAUUCUUCGCUGCCUUAGCAGGGUAACACCCGACCCUUCGGGCCAUCUCUGCUCUGCGCAUGGAAGGAGAUCGUGCUGCUAUACUGAAUGCGGCACGACUGCAGGGAUUUCUUGGAGAAUAAGCAUUUGUGGCUCAUGUGGGCUUUGUUCCAGGUGUGGAGGUGGUUUCUGCUGCUGCCAUUAUUAUUUGCUAUCUGCAAUGCCAUUAAUAAUUAUUUUAUUUCCCGAAGUUGUGAACCCCCACUCCUCACACUCUGUAACCCAGACAGAAGGUUGUUGUAGCAGUUUAGUUUUCUUAUGACAGGGUUUGUGCUCAGCUGCAUCAGAAUAAUGAAACCUUUUGGAGGUGUGUUGCUCGUGCAGGAUGGCCCCUUGGUUUGGCUUGGGAACUGCAGGCCCGUCUGUGUUUGUCAGGGCUGUGGCCACUUACUAAACCUGUCUGGGUUUGGCUCUCUGGAAUGGAGGGAGCUUGGCUCUUGUUAAAAUUGGCAGUUCCUUUUAUGGAGGGCUUCUGUGGGUAAGAUUAGAUGGGAGUUGAAUUAGCCCUACCCCUGUAUAGGGCAAGGUGAUGUACAGGCAUAGACUGGAAAAUCCCCAGCCCUGAUCUGCUUACUGUCUAACCAUAAGAAAUGCAUGGGGUAAUGAAAAAGGAAGCAAUGAGACAUAUUAGUCAGCAUGAUGGAUGUUCAUCAACAGCAGCCUUAUAGCUGUGGAGGAUUUGCUAGAGGGUAGUAAAAAGCCCUUCAAAACUGUCAAAAGAUAAUUAAGUAGCAUUGACUAUGAUUUCUGAGGAAUGCUGUGGGAAUUUAUGGUGGUUAUGGGGGGCCUGAGUUGCAGAAGUGGGUCUGGAGAGGUAAGCACUCAUUUCCCAACAGCAGCCAUGGCUGCUGUGACACUGGAGAGAAGCCACAGACUGGCAGUGCCUGUGGAGCACAACUGGGAUGGGCUGCAGGACAAAUCUGCCCAUAGCCUGGGUCUGGAUGGGUCUGAGUGCUACGGGAGCUGGCUGUGCCAGCAGUGAUAUGGGUGGUGCAGGGGAGAGCAAGAAUAUCAGUGUUUUUGCCUUCCAGUACAUCAGGUAGUCUCAAAAAGGGAUUUGCUUUCCUGGUGAACCUGAGCCUCACACCUGGAUGGAUAACACUCCUACCACUACUGCCACUUGGGCUGUGCCAGCUGAGGUGGAGGAGUAGGAGGACAUUGCAGAGAGACACACUGGGAAGGAAGAAGGUCUUGCUGUGUUUCCUGCAAGUGUGCAGUGGAUGGGAAUCUCUGACAGUUUCCUUUACCUCUCUCAUAUCUGUGUUAUGGGCUUGCAGGAUGUGGACAGAUUAUGAAUGGAGUCAAGAGUGGCUUGAUAGCUGUAUCUCUGCUCUGGCUGUAUUUAUAGCUCUGGGUUGACAGCUGGGUCAUGGUGAGCUAUAUAUACCUUCUGUGGUUGGUCUUGUCCAGGCAAGUGGCUGUGGGAAGUCUCCACUGAAAAACAGGCUAGUGUGAGUGGAGCAUUCCUUUCCCACCACCCUCUUUAGAUCUGUUCUGUGUGCCUGAAUCUGUACUGGUGGCCUGUGCUUGGUGUGCUGGCUCUUUUCUGGCACUCAGAGUGUAGAAAGGCUGGCUGCUGUGGGGGCAUGGACCUUCUGGGUGAGCCUGUGUAUUCCCAGUCUUCAGCAGGCAGUAUUCUCCUUCUGAGCUUUUGCAUUGCCUGAGUGGCACAGCUCAUAUCUCUGGAUGGGUGGUCCCCCAACAAGCUGCAUGUGGGUGCUGGGAUGGAGCAUGGUUACAGCAGCACUUCUGAAGGGAGCCAGGAAGCACAGCUUGCCAGUAUGGGCUGAAUCUGGCCAGGCAGAGCAACUUUUUCCCUGAGCAGGCUACCCUGUCAUCCUUCCCUGGGGCUCUGACACUUCUGGAUCAAAAACACUUGAAUGUAACCAAAACACAACUUCUGGCCAGUGUUUCCCCUGCCAGAUUGCCCAUCACAGAAGUCUUUCUCCCAACAUAUGAAGCUUUGCUCUUGCACUGAUCAAAAAGGUACUCCUGACCUUCCCUGCAGCUCCAUGGGCUUCCAGGCUCAUUUCCCCUCCUCUCCCGGAUCCUGACUGUCUCAGGCCCAGAUUCAGCAUCAGCCUCGCCACAUCAAGGUGGAAGUGGCCGGGCAGCUGGGAGGUGUCCGGCUGGGGAGGCCGCGCCCCGGGGCAGAGCGAGGCUGUCUCACCCCUUCUCCCAGCAGUGAGAGAGCAUCGGACGCCGCUGAGCGGAGGGAGGGCUGCUGUCCCAGAGCAGCGGCCUGCUGGUUACUGAAGGCACGGCACCAUCUGGUGGCAUGAAAGGAAUUUGUCUGAGAUACCUGGGAAGAAAGGCAGUCAGUUGGCAGCAGGAGAUCAUCUAGAUGGUCUGCCGGCUUCCCAUGUGCAAGCAGGAAUCUCCUGAGUUUGGCAUUGUGCCUCUACUUUUGAUAACCUUCUGUGGAUUUCAUCCUUUCUGGUUUUGGCUCAUCACCACCUGAACCUGUGAAGACUCCUGACAUUUGCUACACCUGCUGGAGGUGCAGCUGGUCUGGGACUUUAAAGAGCUGCCCAAGGUCCCUUGAUAUGCCAGGAGUGUCCAGAUUGUGGGUCUGCUGAUCUUCAGGCACAGAGCAGUGUUGGCAUCCAGCUCAGAACCAGAUGUCAAGGGUUGAAGCAUUUACUCCCCCAGACAAUGUAAUUCUGACCUUUUCCAUCUACCCUCCUGCCUUCCAAUGCCUGGUUUCUUUCCUGCUCUUACCUGGCACUUUCACAAACACAUAUUUCAACCUCCCACAUUCCUGCACUGCUGAGGAGACAAGUCUUUUACACUUGGAGGAAAAGAUAAUUGGUAUAGUUGAAAUACAAUUAGAGUAAUUGAAUAAUGAUUAAUUAAUUAAUAAUUGGUGAAAAAUUAGUAGUCAGAAUACUACAGUGAGUUUGGAAAAAUGACUCUGCUCCUUUUUUGGGGGCUGGUGUGAUUGAUGUGAGGUUAGCUGUGGCAGAGUAAUGUGUUCUCUGUGUUCCUGCUAGCUGUAUUUGUAUUAGACCACAGUGAGGGACAUCAGAGUUUGGAACCAGAAGAGUGUUUCCAAGGAUGAGGAUAGCAAAGCAGUAGACGAAAUUACUGAGGCAAGAAAUUAAUGCCCUUUCUUGGAGGUUCUUAAAAAGCAGCAUAAAAAAAUGGUGUAAUUCCUGUCCCCGUCCUCAGACAGUCACAGGACAUCCUCAGCAAAGGUUUCUGUAGUACACAGACAGAAGUGGAAGGACAUCUCUAGAGACCUGCCUGGCAAGUCCCCUCAUCUUAGGCCUAGACUCUUUCCUGUCAUGGAUCCAGAAAGGCUGGGUGCACUGUCUGUUUGGAACUGAGUCACCUCAUGCCAGGGAAGAUAAAAAAGUCCAAAAUCCAAGCAGUUCCCAGGAGAACAAUUUUUCUCCAGGAAACCAAAGACACAGCUCUGGCACUUUUCAGUCCAAUGUGGCUUCCUUCUGACUCUGGCUGGAGUUGGCUGUCCAGGGGAGACAAGGGGAAAUGUUUCAAGUUAGGGUGAGUUUAGGAAUGUGUUGGAAGAGCAGCAUAUGCUAGCAUGCAUCUGUGUGGGAAUAUCUAUGGGCAAAAAAAGGCAAAGUUCUCCUAAAGUGGGAGAACUUGCUUCAUCAUUUAUUUACAUGCUUCAACACUUGCAUUUUGAUGAGGGCUUAGAUAUUUUGUGUAUUAGCCAGAACAAACACAGCAAAUGGCUCUUCUAAACUGUUGAUGAAAUCAUUGAGGGGCUUUGUGUCCUUGUGGUUUUCCACUUAUUUGAGUUUCCUUUGAGAUGUGAACUUAAAAUCUGGCACUCAUGGGCCCCAUGUGACUUUGUGGUGUUCUUGGAACACUGCUUCUCUAUAAAACAGUGUCUUGAUCCCAUCCAAGCACAGAUGUUUGUUUGUUUUCUAUGACAGGUAUAGUAUCAAUGAUAUUUGCUUGUCGAGCCACCCAAGUCAUGCUUUAAUGGAAAUUCUUUAAAGAAGUGAAAAAUAUUCAUUGUAGUACACUGGUUCAGCAAAUACUGCAGUAAAACCUUUGGAAUAGAGACUGAAUGACAGAAAUAAGUGAGUUAUGUGUGGAGGGGAAAUGAAAAGCAUUUUUUAUGGCAUAUUGCAGUGGUUACUAAGCUUUAUGACUUUCUCAGCAGUCUCAGGAUAUUGUAUUUCUUUUUUUUUCCUUAAAGGCUCCUGGAAGAAAGACAUUGCAUAAGAAACUCCAUUUUCUAAUUAAAAAAAAAAAAUUAACUCUCAUGGUUGCUUAGAAAAACAUGAAAACAUGAGCUGAAUGUUCCAGAUAGGAUGUUGAAAUCAAAACCAAACAGGAUGGAAAUCUUGGUUCAUAGCUUUAUGCUCCAGACAGCAAACAAACAGCCUUAGAUUGGCUUAGAAAUUCUGCAGUUUGGAAAUGUAUCAGUGUCUGACUUUUGGGACCUGACUGCAGGCAUGAGGACACAUGUGAUUUUGGAAUCAGAGUUUAGUCUCCUUUUGUUAGACAAUAUUGACUUUCAUAAAAAGUAAAUACUUCUGUAAAAUAAAAGAAUUUUUAAAAAAAUAUUUCUCUGGUGGGACCACUUAUUUUUUCAAACUUUUCUUAGCAGUACUUGAGUCCCUUUUUGUCUCUUGUUUUGUUCCCCAACUGAUUUUAU